UUAACUCAAAUUUGUAUGGAGCUGGAAUGUUUGCCUACGUUUGCCGCUAAGGGCGCUGUUCCAACUGCAUACAAAUUUGAGUUA
rfam:Bombyx mori DNA, contig: Bm_scaf12_contig9607, strain: p50T/Dazao, build 2, whole genome shotgun sequence.